GCCUAUGGCUAUGCUACCCUGAACAAGCCGGAUCCUGUCUGAUCUUAGAAGCUAAGCAGGGUAGGGCCUGGUUAGUACUUGGAUGGGAGACCACCUAGGAAGACCAGGUGCUAUAGGCG
rfam:Pteropus alecto contig94279, whole genome shotgun sequence.